ensembl:lncRNA
GUUUGGUUUGGGAGGGAAGGGGAAGGUGUUUUUUGUUCUUUUUUUUUUUGCUGUGGGUGUGUUUUGUAUGCACAGUGACUAACUCAUUGCGGUUCAGCUAAUUGGCAGGAAGGCCUUCAUCUCACUGUGGAAGUGGUGUGAUGUGGUACUCUGCGAUGGAGAAGUGAUCUUUGAUGACGCCAAAGAAUUUUUAACAAAGCAACACCAUAGAGAUCUUUGUUAUUUGUACUGCUGCUGGCAGGAAUAUCUGAGUGCUUCACGUCUGAAAUAAGCUUGAGAUUUGCUGCUUCCAGCACAGAUUGAAAGCAAGUUAAGAUAGGUGUGCAAAAGGAUCCAACCCAGGGC